UACCGUUCCGAAGUCUCGUCGUCAGUACCUCGCCUUGCUUUCAUAAGUAAUUGCAAUAGCACUUCAAGCACAAUCUGCCUUUCAUUGAAGGGCAUCAAUUACCUUUGAAAAUAUAGGAAGUAUGUAUGUCUACUGUUACUGGAACCGUUAAGUGGUUCAACGAAACUAAAGGCUUUGGUUUUAUCGAGCAGGAAUCUGGACCGGACGUGUUUGCGCAUUUUAGCGCUAUCUCGGGUUCAGGCUUCAAGACGCUGGCCGAAGGUCAGAAAGUUGAGUUCACUGUGACCCAGGGCCAGAAAGGUCCUCAGGCAGAGAACAUCGUAGCGGUUUAAUCCCUCAGCGUUUAAAGGCCCGCCCUGU
rnacentral:sRNA from 1 species